GCAUACUAGAGACCGGCGCACGGGUGCGUAACGCGUAUGCAAUCUACCUUUCACAGAGGGAUAGCCCAGAGAAAUUUGGAUUAAUACCUCAUAGUAUAGCAGUUUCGCAUGAAACCACUAUUAAAGUCACAACGGUGAAAGAUGAGCAUGCGUCCCAUUAGCUAGAUGGUAAGGUAACGGCUUACCAUGGCGACGAUGGGUAGGGGUCCUGAGAGGGAGAUCCCCCACACUGGUACUGAGACACGGACCAGACUCCUACGGGAGGCAGCAGUGAGGAAUAUUGGACAAUGGGCGCAAGCCUGAUCCAGCCAUGCCGCGUGCAGGAUGACGGUCCUAUGGAUUGUAAACUGCUUUUGUGCAGGAAGAAACACUCCCUCGUGAGGGAGCUUGACGGUACUGUAAGAAUAAGGAUCGGCUAACUCCGUGCCAGCAGCCGCGGUAAUACGGAGGAUCCAAGCGUUAUCCGGAAUCAUUGGGUUUAAAGGGUCCGUAGGCGGUUUAGUAAGUCAGUGGUGAAAGCCCAUCGCUCAACGGUGGAACGGCCAUUGAUACUGCUAAACUUGAAUUAUUAGGAAGUAACUAGAAUAUGUAGUGUAGCGGUGAAAUGCUUAGAGAUUACAUGGAAUACCAAUUGCGAAGGCAGGUUACUACUAAUGGAUUGACGCUGAUGGACGAAAGCGUGGGUAGCGAACAGGAUUAGAUACCCUGUGAGUCCACGCCGUAAACGAUGGAUACUAGCUGUUGGAAGCAAUUUCAGUGGCUAAGCGAAAGUGAUAAGU
rnacentral:rRNA from 1 species